rnacentral:lncRNA from 1 species
CUGGGAGGCAACAGGAAAGUGACUCAUGAGACAUUGCAUCCUCCUCUGUGCAGGCAACAUGGUGACUUGAAGAACAGGCACUGGACCACACAGAAGCUGUGGGACUGACAGCAAAAUGAUAGAGGCUGACAGUGACCAAGCUCUUGGCUGGUUAAGGUCCUGACUGAAGUCAUCUGAGCUCCUCUUAGGAGUUCCUCAGCUAUCACUGACCUGUGGACACCAGCAAAUAGAGCUCUGCUCCAUCCAGAGCUGUCAUACUGUGCCAGGGUUUUAAUAGUGAUGGCUGAAAACAGCAUCCAGUGUUGACAGAACGAGCUGAAACCCUGCUACACGCUGAGUUUUUUGGAAUGGAUGUGAGAGCCAAAGCUCAGAUGCCUCUCCAGGAGCAAACACGGGAAGGAUCUACCUUUCUCCAUGAACCCUAGAUAAGUCACACGGUUGGCUUAAACGAGACGCUUCACGCUUGGAUGGCUGCAGUGAGGGGAGCACUCCUGCAGUGUGGGGAGCUGCACGGAGCCUGUCACCAAGUUCCUCAGGGACAUGUGUGGAGUGCUGCUGGCAGGCAGUGAAGACCUCUGGGUGGCAGUGACUGCUGGGUGAGCUGUGUAAGCAGAUCUGUGGUGUGUCUCUUUCCCUUUGUGUCUCCUGAGGGGUAAAAAGCUCAUCGGAGGAGACAGCUGGUGUAUCUGAGAAU